UUUAAUGCGUUCGGCAUCGAUGGGGUUUGCGUCUCGGAUUAAGUUGCCCAAACCAUCCUCCUCCAGCAAGGGAUUGGCUCCGAUGAUAGGGAGAUCAGCACUGAAAAUUCAACGGUGAUUCUCUUGCAAUUGCCCUUCGAUGGUCCCCUCCCAGAAUUGCAACUUACUGUGUCAAUGAGUCCCGUCCGACGCAUCGCACAAUGAACUUAAUAAUCACCAAAUUCUCGGUACUCAGCUCGUGAGGGCAGCGUCGCCCCUUCACAAUCGGAAGGAGGAUGUUGUGAGCUUUCGGAGGGGUUUUGGAUAGACCCUUGAAAGUUGCUGUGACGUGUGAUCCUUGGUUGGAAUUUUUGAUAACUAUGGCUUGCUUCCUAAUCCCCGUAGACUGUGCAAGGUGGGUGUGCAACCAUGCAGGCUGAUUCAACCCCUGGGGCCUUGUUCACAUUCCCCCGUCGUAUCGUUGGAGCCCUUUCUCAACGUUGUAAACCUUUCCGUCUGGUCCUUUGCCGGGCUUGUGAUAGGAGUAUCGCCUACUUUGGCACGAAUCCUGCUAAUUCCAGGUGUGCCGACUCCACUAACCCUCCGGUAUUUCUUUUUUUAAAGACGGAAAAUUGUUUGGAAAAUAGGGUUAAAAUAGGAAUAAGAAAAGGGUAGCAUACGGCACGAAUAGCUGAAUGGUCAGCAAGGGAGUUGGAAAGUGAAAAAAGGAGAAAUGCAAUGUUCCUGCUAGUGCGAGAUGUGAUUCCCGAAGUGAUUCAAACCUCCAACUCUUCACCAACAUUAGACAUCAGCUUACAACAUCACAACAUGAACUAUUGAAACAAAACAAGUUGAAGGGCUUCGGUGUGGUCGAACUCUUGGAAAACAGCAGGUGCGCAAUCACACUCCUUUCAGUUACUCAGACUAUGGCAACAUUCUCAAACACCAAAUUGCAAAGAAAACCCUAAAAGGGCAAAUCACAUCAGCCAUCACAUUAAAAUCUUGUUUAAGACGUGCCGGUGCUGGUGUCGGUAAGUAUAGGGACAAGUUCACUUCGAGCCCUAAUCCACGACCCCUUUUGCAGAAUGGCUUCACAACACAACUUCUAUCAACCUUCCAGAUGGGGCCUCUCAUUGCGUACCCAAAUUUACUCUGCAAACUUUUAUUUACCUUUUUUUAUGGGUAACAGUUAACAGGAUCAAUAACUACUGCAUUCGUAACAUUGACUUAUCAAACUAUUAGCAAAUUGAUAGGAAUUAUUUUAAGUUUGUAUUAAUUAGAAGUUUGUUUCAAGUAAUAAAUGUUACAUGCCUUGGCAUGUGAUUUGAUCAC
rnacentral:lncRNA from 1 species